GCAUUGCUGAAGAGUCCCAUACUAGGACGGGACGGCCGUCCAGUGC
rfam:Schistosoma mattheei strain Denwood, Zambia genome assembly, scaffold: SMTD_scaffold0027769